CAUAGCGCAGGCGACGUGUUCCGAAUAGUAGUAGUUUCGUGAUGUGUGUCAAAUUGGCAUUCUUCGAUCGUAAUAUGCCGUGUUCUCGGCCAGGCACGACGAUUUUGAUAUUAUUAUUAUUUUUACAUUCGAUGGUAUAGUAUAGUGACUGGCGGAUAACUCGUCUUGUGAUAAUUUAACGCAGAUUUGACCGAAAUUUAAUUUUCCGUCUCGCAUACUAUUUGCGACACCUCCGACCGCAGGUCAUCUAUGAACUCGUUCACUCGGAUUAAAACUUUUUUGGGUUUGACAAACAACAGUUCCUGUAACACACAAAAAUCACGGAUAUACUUAGACAGGACCGAAAAAACGGUUUCGUGUAUUUUGACAAACAUAAUUUGAUACACAAUACAAGAGGCGAAUUUGAAAUAUUGAUUAUUGGAUAUUGCAGUAAACAACAACGAAAUUUAAUAUCAUGGACGUAAUACGACCGAUGGAGUGAAAUGUCAAUUAAUUUAGUAAAAAUUGAGAGCAGUCAACUAUUACCUACACACAAUAGUGACACAGUCUAUCGUCCUGUAAUGUAUUCAUAUAAUCAUUAUAUAUUUUAAAAAAAUGAAAAUGAACAUGAAGUUACUGUGAUGAUGUGGAUACUACGAAAGAAUUAAUUCGAACAAAAUAAACGAAUAAACGAAAAUAACGUGGAUUAUGGUAAUUGCGUAUAAUACAAAAUAAAGCUUUCCCAGAGGCACAUGUAAAUGAAGCUGUAUGAACGACCAUAAAAAAGUUUAAUAAAACUAUACAAUAUACAUAUAUAGGUAAUAAUGGUUUAAACAUGGUAAAGUAAUAUGUGUUGGUAAUAAAUAUAUAUUUAUUGUAUAUACCAAAACCG